UGAACAAUGCUGAGGAAGAGUAAGUACGCAUCAGCGCGCGGGGUUCAGAGAGUCGGUGGCCGCUGUGAACCGAUCCCCGUCCGGUGCCGAAUGGGCUUCUGAAUUGCUGCGCUGAAAUGACAGUAGGCGGUGCCGGGAUUCUUUCCCCGUUAUCAAGAAAGGAGUAUUGAAACCGUGUGUUUCUGUACUUUUUGAGAGAAUGGCUUAUCAGCCGUUAAUAAAGGUGGCACCGCGAAAACCUCGUCCUUUGA
rfam:Bacillus amyloliquefaciens FZB42, complete genome.